UACGUAGGUGGCAAGCGUUGUCCGGAUUUACUGGGCGUAAAGAGCGCGCAGGCGGUCUUGUAAGUCGAAUGUGAAAGCCCCUGGCUCAACCGGGGAGGGUCAUUCGAUACUGCUCGACUCGAAGGCAGGAGAGGGAAGCGGAAUUCCCGGUGUAGUGGUGAAAUGCGUAGAUAUCGGAAGGAACAUCAGUGGCGAAAGCGGCUUCCUGGACCAGAACUGACGAUCAGGCACGAAAGCGUGGGGAGCAAACAGG
rnacentral:rRNA from 1 species